GCCGCUCCUGCACGCCUGGCUCCUGUAACUGACCACCAAAUGACCCCAGAGUGAAGAAGGCACAUCAGGCUCCUAUUAAUGUGGCCACAGAUUCACACAUUUGCUUGAUGAAAGCCUAGUGCAAAGGAAUAGAGUCUUAUUGUGGACUUGGAAACCUCCUAGUUAUUUAGAUGUGAACUCACGCUUUUGCUCAUCUCUGGGAAACACAGCACAUUUUUUUAAAGUACAUCUUGCAUCAUGGAUUGAAAGGCUAAGACCUUACCAUUAGAUCUAGCAUGAAGCCCUCACCCAUGCCGUGUAACUCUACAUUUACUCCUUCCUUCCAUCUUCAGGGGAAAAGAAGCAGGGGCUGAUAAAACAAGCAGAGAAGGCCCAGGGUCGGUUUAUUGACUUCUAAGGACUAUUGGUCUUUUGCAGUGAAGGAAAAAAAAAAAAUGCCUUAGGACCUGCUAGGUGCUAAUUUGACCUGGCAAUGAGGUAAAGUUAGGCUUUGGCUGUCUUCAACCUCCUAGGAUCGGAAUGCCAUCUACUUAGCAUAGGAGUCAGACAAUUCCCUGGCAAUAGAUCGCUUUCCACUUGUGCAGCUACUGAAUAAAUAGCAAAGUAAUUAACAGUGUGCUAUGGCUAGAUGUAUCAGGUGGAAUUUCAUUACAGCAGAAAGAACUGAGAGAAUGAAGGAGUCAUUUUGUGUCCACCGUCAGGUGAAUCGUUUGUGCUUUCUUUCACUAGGAUGGACAGGUUAUCUCUGCUUUUCUUCAAGAAGAGAAAUUUCUGAAUUCCCUAUCAUAUCUUCACUUUGAUCAAGGGGAAAGGAAGAAAAGAAAACUCUUAAGUGCCUAAAAUUGGUCCAAAAAUAAAGAAUUCUUCUCAUUUUUCCAUUUAAUGAUUUUGUUCCUGAAACCUAUGGGUGAUUCUCUUUUGUUGUAUUUUUUGUUUCUUUAUUUUUUCUCAACUAUUAAA
rnacentral:lncRNA from 10 species